rnacentral:rRNA from 1 species
UACGAAGGGGGCUAGCGUUGCUCGGAAUCACUGGGCGUAAAGCGCACGUAGGCGGAUUCCUAAGUCGGGGGUGAAAUCCUGGAGCUUAACUCCAGAACUGCCUUCGAUACUGGGAAUCUUGAGUCCGGAAGGGGUGAGUGGAACUGCGAGUGUAGAGGUGAAAUUCGUAGAUAUUCGCAAGAACACCAGUGGCGAAGGCGGCUCACUGGUCCGGUACUGACGCUGAGGUGCGAAAGCGUGGGGAGCAAACAGG